rnacentral:tRNA from 1 species
GGGGCUGGGGCUCAGUGGUAGAGCACUAGCCUAGCACGUACGAGGCUCUGGGUUCGAUCCUCAGCACCCCA